GAUGAACGCUGGCGGCGUGCCUAAUACAUGCAAGUCGAGCGAACGGACGAGAAGCUUGCUUUUCUGAUGUUAGCGGCGGACGGGUGAGUAACACGUGGAUAACCUACCUAUAAGACUGGGAUAACUUCGGGAAACCGGAGCUAAUACCGGAUAAUAUUUUGAACCGCAUGGUUCAAAAGUGAAAGACGGUCUUGCUGUCCCUUAUAGAUGGAUCCGCGCUGCAUUAGCUAGUUGGUAAGGUAACGGCUUACCAAGGCAACGAUGCAUAGCAGACCUGAGAGGGUGAUCGGCCACACUGGAACUGAGACACGGUCCAGACUCCUACGGGAGGCAGCAGUAGGGAAUCUUCCGCAAUGGGCGAAAGCCUGACGGAGCAACGCCGCGUGAGUGAUGAAGGUCUUCGGAUCGUAAAACUCUGUUAUUAGGGAAGAACAUAUGUGUAAGUAACUGUGCACAUCUUGACGGUACCUAAUCAGAAAGCCACGGCUAACUACGUG
rnacentral:rRNA from 1 species